rnacentral:rRNA from 1 species
GUCUAUGGCCAUGCUACCCCCAACAAGCCCAAUCCCGUCUGAUCUCGGAAGCUAAGCAGGGUUGGGCCUCAUUAGUACUUGGAUGAGAGAUCACCUAGGAAGACCAGGUGCGGUAGGCA